AUUGAACGCUGGCGGCAGGCCUAACACAUGCAAGUCGAGCGGAGCGGCGGACGGGUGAGUAAUGCCAAGGGAUCGGGCUAGUAGUGGGGGAGCAGGUCAGGAAACGGGGGCUAAUACUGAAAACUAUCAGAUGAGCCGAGGUCGGAUUAGCUAGUUGGUGGGGUAAAGGCCUCACAAGUCGACGAUCCGUAACUGGUCUGAGAGGGUGAUCAGUCACACUGGAACUGAGACACGGCCCAAACUCCUACGGGAGGCAGCAGUGGGGAAUAUUGGACAAUGGGCGAAAGCCUGAUGCAGCCAUGCCGCGUGUGUGAAGAAGGUCUUCGGAUUGUAAAGCUCUUUAAGUUGUGAGGCGUUACCAACAGAAUAAGCACCGGCUAACGUCGUGCCAGCAGCCGCGGUAAUUC
rnacentral:rRNA from 1 species